rnacentral:rRNA from 1 species
CACCGCCCGUCACAUCAUGAAAGCCGUUUGUACCCGAAGUCGCUGUUUCAACCGCAAGGAGAUAGGCGCCGAAGGUAUGGAUGGUGAUUGGGAUG